rnacentral:rRNA from 1 species
UCCGUAGGCGGGCAAUUAAGUCAGAGGUGAAAUCCCACAGCUCAACUGUGGAACUGCCUUUGGUACUGGUUGUCUUGAGUUACAGUGAAGUAGAUAGAAUAUGUAGUGUAGCGGUGAAAUGCAUAGAUAUUACAUAGAAUACCGAUUGCGAAGGCAGUCUACUAACUGUAUACUGACGCUAAUGGACGAAAGCGUGGGGAGCGAACAGGAUUAGAUACCCUGGUAGUCC